rnacentral:rRNA from 1 species
GUUUAAGCCGCCGCGGUAAUACGGGGGGGGCAAGCGUUGUUCGGAAUUACUGGGCGUAAAGGGCUCGUAGGCGGCCAACUAAGUCAGACGUGAAAUCCCUCGGCUUAACCGGGGAACUGCGUCUGAUACUGGUUGGCUUGAAUCCGGGAGAGGGAUGUGGAAUUCCAGGUGUAGCGGUGAAAUGCGUAGAUAUCUGGAGGAACACCGGUGGCGAAGGCGGCAUCCUGGACCGGUAUUGACGCUGAGGAGCGAAAGCCAGGGGAGCAAACGGGAUUAGAUACCCUGGUAGUCC